rnacentral:snRNA from 1 species
AUACUUUUUUCGGCCUUUCUGCUACGGUCAAGUGUAGUUAUCUGUUCUUAACAGUUUAAUAUCUGAUACCAUGUCCCACAUCAUAUUCACAUUAAAUUUAUCUUGUGCGAACAUAU